GAAAGUUUGUCAACUCUUGGAGCUCAAUUCAAGAGUUUGGAAAACCAACUUUAUGACAAAAACAAUAAUAAAGUGUCCUUCAAAGAUUUCGAAGGAUUAGAAGAGGCAUUGAAGAAAACUAAUGGCUUGGAUCUUCUUCCAGGCUACCUCAAACCUAUUGCAAACCAAAUCGAAAAGGCUCAUGGGGAAGCUACUGGGAUUGCUCAUGAAUAUAUUCAACUUUUUGUCUGCGCUGCUAUCAAUGAGAUGCAAGAAUCGGCAGUGAAGUCUUUGAACUGGGAUACGCUGAAAAAAUGGGGAGCGACUCUCAAUUAUGCUAGGCAACUUGGUUUUCAAGUGAGCUUAGCUGAUGAGUUACUGAGGAAAACUUUUGUUGCCUACAUGUGUUUCAAAUUUUUGAUAAACCAACCUGAUGACAAAAAGAACAAUCAAGUGUCCGACGAAGAUUUGGAAAGCCAAGUUUAUGGAAGUUGGUCAACUUUUGGAGCUGAAUUCAAGAGUUUGGAAAACCAACAUUAUGAAGAAAACAAUAAUAAAGUGUCCUUCAAAGAUUUCGAAGGAUUAGAAGAGGCAUUGGAGAAAAAUAAUGCAUUUGGUCUUCCAGACUACCUCAAGCCUAUUGUGAACCAAAUCGAAAAGGCUCGUGGGGAAGCUACUGGGAUUGCUCACGCAUGUAUUCAACAUUUUGUGUGCGCUGCUAUCAAGGAGAUGCAAGAUUCGGCAUUGGAGUCUUUGAACUGGGAUACGUUGGAAAAAUGGGGAGCGACGCUCAAUUAUGCUAGGCAACUUGGUUUUCAAGUGAGCUUUGCUGAUGAGUUACUGAGGAAAACUUUUGUUAC
rnacentral:lncRNA from 1 species